AUUCAGAGAGAACACCAGACAGAUGGUGCUUGCAAUGUCAAUCAGAAAUGAUGGUCCUAUUAUCAUUCACCUUAAAGGAAGGCUAUGAUCUAGUUAUCCUCAUAACUAGCUCAUUUUAUGGAUCUAAUAAUUUAGAAGAUUUAAUCAAUUUAAAAAAAAAGAUGAGAAGAGAUCAAUCAGUAAAUCACAAUCCUCCCACUGACUUCACCAAGUCAUUAAAUUGGAUUAAGGUCAUGCUGGUUGAACUGGCACC
rnacentral:lncRNA from 1 species